rnacentral:tRNA from 1 species
AGACAACAUUAGAUUUGAUGCCUGAAUUAUUUUUUUAGGCCAGAAUCCUGUCACUAGUCGAUCGGUACUCAGUUUGAAAUUACAAAACUAAGAAAUCUGUUUUGAGUUAAUAAAUUCAGUUCCUAAACUUUGUCUAGGUCACACUCCAGCAAUGGUAUUCCUGGGCCAUUAGCUCAGGUGGUUAGAGCGCACCCCUGAUAAGGGUGAGGUCCCUGGUUCAAGUCCAGGAUGGCCCAUUCGGUGUUGGGGGUAUAGCUCAGUUGGUAGAGCGCCUGCUUUGCAAGCAGGAUGUCAGCGGUUCGAGUCCGCUUACCUCCACUGAUACAACUCCUGAUAACGAAAGCUUGGGGAGCAAUUUGUGAAAUGUGUGAUCUGGAAUUUGUUCUCUAUUAAUGAACCUAGCUUCAUAUCACCCCUGCUAAUAAUUUUUGGUAUGGCUGAUAAGACGCUGGGCUCGCUGCAAUAUCAAUUGCAGAAAGUUCAGUAGAACCUUGACAACUGCAUAGGUGAGUCUGGAAAAAUAAAGCAUCUCAUGGAUGCAUUGUUUUUAAUCCAUUUUUAAUUUACUGAUCUAAUUAGUUUAUUUAUUUGGCUAUGACAAACAAUGUUUAAUUCUUGAGCAAGAGCCGAGACUCUAUAACCUUCUUUCAAUGUAUAAAUACAGCGAAAGUCUGACUUUCGAUUUAGUUUAUGAGUAUAAAUUUUUAGAUACUUCUGAAAAUUUAUACUUAGAUAUAGUUAAAUCCAAAGGAAGUGCUAACAACACAAAGGGUUAUAGGGAUUAAU